UAAGACUCUGCCUCCUUUAAAAUUGUGCGUUAGGUUUGCCUGCAUCUUGUACAAUGUAAAUUGAGUGUGAUUUCAGCCACCGUGUCUGUAAUAAUCUGAAGCUCUCUAGUAAGUGAUGUACUUACUGUACUGGAUAUUGUGUUUAUGACUGCUGUUGUCCCAUGGUAUUGUGCGUGUCGUGUCAGAAGCUACUCCAUUACCAGUGUAAUCAAUUGCCUAACUUAGUGUUCGCCUGUGAUGAUAAUAAUUGAUUUCAAUGUGCUACUGUUGGUUGAACUAUUGGUUGCAAGAUGCCAUCACAAACACUGAAGUUUAUUACAUAUACAUGCGCAAUGUUCAAUUUUCUACUGGGUACUGUUCAUUUUGGCUUCUACUGUCACUAGUUUUACACACAUUUCAGCAUUCUUGCAUGAAUUGUUUGCAACUGAUCCACCGUCUGCUACUAUACCACUUGGGAGAUGGCUGUUGGCUCAGUGGCCAGCAACGCUGUUUCAGUUCAUGGAUGUCCGAUGCGAAUUGAUUUCUCCGGCGGCAUCAACGAAUUGAUUUCUCCGGCGGCAUCAACGAGGUGGUGGCGAUGAUGGCGUGUUGGAAUAAAGUCUCUCCGGUCUCUUCCUACCUUGACGACGUCCGAUCCGGCGCCGGCGAAGGGCCUGUGAGAGUUUGUGUCCCCAGAUCGGUUGGUUCCCUUCAGAUCUUGACAGUUUGUGUGUCUUUCAAGGAGUACUUUUGGCUGGCGUUCGGUGUGGCGACCACGACAUCUUCUUCUGUGUUGUUCUGUGGCUUAACCCGGUUUCUCCAACCCUCUGACCUGGUGGUGGUGGAUUGCAAGCUUGUUCUGCUUGGGGUGAUGCUCCAGCCGAUGCUGCUUCAACGACUUUUAGAUCUCGUCUCAAGGGGCGAGUGGCUAUUGCGGUCUUCAAAACCUUGUUUGGCGAGGGCAUUUGCAGGUGUUGCUUUUCUUUGCUGUUGGUUUAGUGCAAUUUUCAAUCACCGGCGGGCAGCGUACAAUCAGAGGAAGAAGAAGACUAGUAUGCUUUUUAUUGUAAUUUUAUUUUUUACUGGUCGUUCUACGUCCAGUUGUCUAUCCAUCGUACUGGCUUUUGUUUUCCUCGAUGAUAAUCAGAUUUAAGAUGCCCUUUGGGUGUCUUUAUUCAAAAAAAAAAUGUUCAACAGAGCAGCGGUCUAGCCGAAUGUAAACCAGAGCUGGACACCACGGCCCGGCCUGCCAUAAACGUGCCGUGGCAGGAACGGCCCGCCUGAUUAAUAGCCGGGCCAUCCCGGCCCGGCCCAUGUGCUGCAGGCAGCAGCCCAAGCACGACACGGGAGGUAAAUGGGCCGGCCCUAGGCACGCCGGCGCAUUUAUUUUUUUUCGCAAAAUACACUAGAAAAACAUGGGAAAAGGCCAAAAAAAUGUUGAAAAUUUUAAAAAUUCUGUGAAGUAUUAUUUCGGAUGAAUCUAGAGUUUUAUUAGCUCUUACAUCAUUAAAACCUUCCAUCUCAAAGAAUUAAAAAAAAUACAAAAACAUGCUCUAGAAUUAGAAAAAGAUAAAAAAACAAAGACUACACUACAACAGUACUACUCAGAUCCUAGCACUACAAAAAGGUUGAACAUAUUAGAGUAUUAGGUAUUUAUAUAGGACAUAUAUAUUUCAAAAAAUAAACGGGCCGUGUUGUGCCGGCCCGCGUGCCUAGCCUACAGGCCCAGGCAUGGCCGAAGGCGUGCUGCGUGCUGGGCCCGGCCCGUUUAGCCCAUGGCGGCCCGUGCCGGCGUGCUCGCAGGCCGGCCCGUUUGGCCAGUUUUGAUGUAAACAUCCAAAAUUGUGAUAGAGAAGAGACCCAACACGUUUAGUGAUUGUUUGUAGCGAGGGGACGUUACAUUAAAGAUAGCUAAUCGAAUAACCAAAAAUGCCUAAAAAUGAUGAUCGAAUGAUUGCAGAUUCUAUUAAUGCGUCAAGAAGACAGGAAAAUUGCACAAUUUUAAUGUCUUUGAAUGUAUCAUCACACUUCCAGUCCCCAAACUAAGCCCCAAACUCUACCCAUCCACUGCCAUCUCAGCUCCCUCCUCUUUUCCAUCCACCGGCUAGAGGGUGGUGCCCGUCCUCCUCAUUGCUUUUUUCAAGAAACACAAUGCAGACACGCACAUACACACGUGCACACUCACCCUGUGAGCACCUCUAAAAGACCGAGCUAACGAAUCUUAAGAUUGACGAAGUUGUCAUAGACAACUUAUAGUUGAUGUAGACGCCAUCCCGUUGAAAGAGUAGCACCGAAGAACAUGUUAUAAAUCUAGAAAAUAUGCGAGCACCCGUGCUAAGUCUGAGGCUUGAACUUGGAUAGGCUAGCUCCAUCAAAAGUAACCUAAGUACCUAACCAUCUAAGUUAGGCUUAGUUCACUCUUUGACGUUUUUUCAGGUCAUUUUUCCUUUGGUUUUUGUUGCACAAGUGGGAUUGGCAAGGUGGCGGUAGUGAUGACGCGUUCGAACAUGGUCUCUCCGGUCUCUCUCUACCUUGAUGGGUUCAAUUCGACGCUAAUGAAGGCCCUGUGAGGGAAGGUGUCACCAGCCUGUUGGUUCUAUUUGGAUCUUGAUAGUUGGUGUGUUUAACAAGGGAAGCAACUGGCUGGUUGAUGCAUCGACUUCGACUUCGACUUCUUCAUUCAUUUUGUUCGACGGCAGUGUCCGCUUUCUACAACCCUCAUUGGUGACGAGGGGUUGCAAACUUGCAAUGGUGGGGUGCUGCGCCAACCGAUGUUUCUUUAAUAACUAUUAGAUCUUUGUUCAUGGUGAGUGGCUAUUUUGGUGCUCAAAGCCUUGUACCGCGAUGGCUUUUGCAGGUGUCCCUAUUCCUCGCAACAUGUUUAAUCUAUUUUUAAGUUUGAUGGAUGAUGACCAAUUGAAGGAAAAAGACGACUAGUAUAAUUUUUGACAUAAUUUUACUUUUUAAUGGCAUUUUGUGUCUUGUUGUUCUUCUCCUGUAUUGUGUUCUCCUUGAUAACUAGAUCGGGAUCGCGCCAAUGGCGCGGGGUGCCGGUCCCAACGUUUUGAUCAAGCAUGUAAUGCUAAGUUAGUAGUAACCCAAAUUUAGCAUAUGCAUACAUACAUAAUAACAAUAAAGUGAAGAAGAAACAUUCAACUAUUAUAGAAGCAAGACAUGGGCUCAGUAUCGGCUUGAGAUUAUAAGGUAGAAUUGGUUUCAGUGCGUUCAUAAGACCACAAAAGAUAACCACCUGAUAUGAAAAUUGACACAAAAAACGCAGCCACUCGACAUGGAAGUUUGAUACCACAAGCGUAACAAAGGAGACACAACUACAAAGCCAGAACUACUAAGCAUACUAAUAAGUGGCUUCACUCAACUGCCUUGUCGAUCAACUUCAUAGGCGUCACUUCAUACUAAUAAGUGACUCCACUCAACUGCCUUGUCGAUGAUCUUCAUAAGCACCACUUCACAUGAACGUGUGCAUGUCCCAACAAUGUGGUAAAGAAGGUAAUGAUCAAAUGAUAUGAUGCGUUAGUAGGAAACAUGGUUUAGCAUACAUAUUCAAUAGGACAAUGAUUUUUUCUGGUUUAAGAGAAAGAAGAAACAUCAAAUUGGUCCAACGUAUAAGAUUUCACUAUACUGUAAAUCAUUUGGUACAUCGGAAAUUACAGUACUUGUUCGGAACUAAUGAGUGUAUUAGUAUCUAUAGAAUAAUUGAUCUGCAAGCUCAUGAAAAAGAAGAUACAUUUAAUUUGUUCCAAAAGCAAGGCAGGACAAUUAAUCUGCGUCCAGUUCAGCCAAAAGAGUUUAGUUAUACGACACUGAAAGCAGGCCAAUGGCAAUGCCAAAUAGAAAAAAUUGGAUCACAUCAAGUUAAUAACAAAGCACAAGAAUUCAAGAUACCAAAAGCUUCAAUGUUAAUCUCCAUGUUCCAGAACCACACAUCCUCGACAACAAAAUAUAACUAAACAUAAAUACUUUACACAUAGACCAUUUCACUAUUUGUAGGAGAUAAACAGAACAUACGGGUAUAUGUUAGGAUAUUUAGUACCAUGACUACAUAGAAGAUUUAUGUAGAAAACAAAACUGAAAUUCUUCCAGCCCCACGUCAAACAUUCAGUCAUAAAAUAUAUUCUUUAUCAGGUUUUCAGUAUCACAAUGGGUUAAAAAUCACAUUGUCAAUGUAAAGAUGCUAUGUGCCUUUCUUUUGCUUCAUUUGAUCUGAAUAUCUCUAUGAAUACUCACAGUUCAUAACAAUCUCCAGCCUUAAAAGUGAAAGAUUUCAGUUCUCAUCCAAACCACUUCAUUAAUAACUCAAUGCGUCAAUUUUCUCUUUACUUUGACACAUUAACAAAAUGAUGACAUGCAUGAGCUGAAGUACUGAAACCUUUAUAGCUAGGGGCUAAUUUGGCAACAGACUGGACUGGAAGCUAGGUGUCAAGCUGGCCCGAGACCCCGUUCGGCUCUAUCACAGUGGCAACCUGCAAGCCAAGAUGAUGGGAGGAGCUGCAGUCCAGGAAACAGCCUCUCUCUCUCUCUCUCUCUCUCUCUCUCUCUCUCUCUCUCUCUCUACUUGCGCCGCUGCUCUAAGCCAAGAAAUAAUUGAACCUAGCAAGAUACCUGUUGCAGGAUAAGAGAAGCUAAUGAUGCAUGUGAGGCUGCAGAUUGUCACACUCACCUACAAUAAACUCCAUUCAAAUCCUUUGAAGCAUCCAAUUUCUGCAUAAACCAAAGAGGAAAAUUGCCAAAUUAGCUCACCCGCCCACCAAAAAGGAUAUAAUGUAAUCUCUUUGUUGCUGAAAUUUCAAGCAGAACAAAAAAAACUAAGAGAUGCUAUUAUUACUUUAAGAGAUAACAACAUUUUUCAUUAUUAUUUGAACAGGGCAUACCCUGUUCCAGUAAAAACAGAACUUCAAUAUAUUAAGAUUCAUUUACAUGUGAUGCUAUUGGAGGAACAACUAAAUAACUAAUCAUGAUUCUGAUCUAUCAUGACAUCUCAAUGGCCACCUCUUUCCUAUUUUGUUCUCUGUACAGUGUUUUUAUUCAUCUUUAGUUAGUCCUGGUCCUUGAUUUCUAUAGGUGUAUCACCCAAAACACACAAUCUUAUUUAACACAAUCUUAUUUAUGGCCAUCAGGACUUAGAAAUUAGCAGACAAACAUGAGAGGUAUUCAGGAAACAAAAAAAAUACUACUGCUCCAAUAACUACUAUAAACUGAAAGAAAUACAAUACUUAAUUUUAUACAUACAGAGAAGGAUUCACGGAACAAAAAAAUCUGCUCCAAUUACUAUUGUACCGAAGAAAUACCUAAUAUGCAGACAUACAUGAGAGGGAUUUAGAAACAAAAAAAAAAUACUACUGCUCCAAAUACUACUGUAAACUAAAAGAAAUACUUAAUUUGCAACAUACAUGAGAGGGAUCCAGGGACCAAGCACAAGUUGCACACCCACAUACAGGAACGUCGGACGUACAUGAGAGAGAUUCAGGGAACAAAAGAAACUCACCCUGAACACCGGCUGUUUGUUGUGUUCAUCACCUCCUUGGUACGGUCAUGGUCCUCUUCUUGGCCCGCGUCCAUCUCCCGGCACCCCCGUGCUGCUGCACUCCUGGUCCUGCAAGCAGCAAAGCUCUUUGUACGUCGUGCCACUCUGCAGUGCGCUCCGCAUCGCAGCUCAAAGACUUGCGCCAACCCGCCACUUUACCUGUGCAUGCGAGAAGAAGUCGAGAAGGAGGGGUCGAGCUGAUUUGGAGUUGGGCUACCACUGUACAAUACCGUGGGUUAUAUUUGCAUGAUGAGUUGAGGUAAGUGCAUCAAUUACCAAGUCAUUUAAGUUAAAAUAACCAUUAGACUAUCCCCGGAGUUAACUGUGUGGAAUCAUUUAACUUUACACAUUGCUACCUUUUGUAUGCACAUAAUAAGAAGCUACUUAACAAUGCAUGAACAUAGAAAAGCAUGUUUCACGAUAGGUUAGCACCAAAUAUGAAAGAUCGUGGAUGUCGCCUAGAGGGGGGGGGGGCUGAAUAGGCGUUUUAAAAUAAUUACGGUUUAGGCUUGAACAAAUGCGGAAUAAACCUAGCGGUUAAUUUGUCAAGCACAAAACCUAAAACAACUAGGCUCACCUAUGUGCACCAACAACUUAUGCUAAGCAAUAUAAGCAACUAUGUGAUAGCAAGAUAUAUGGCAAAGAACAAUAUGGCUAUCACAAAGUAAAGUGCAUAAGUAAAGGGCUCGGGUAAGAGAUAACCGAGGCACGCGGAGACGACGAUGUAUCCUGAAGUUCACACCCUUGCGGAUGCUAAUCUCCGUUUGGAGCGGUGUGGAGGCACAAUGCUCCCCAAGAAGCCACUAGGGCCACCGUUAUCUCCUCACGCCUUCGCACAAUGCAAGAUGCCGUGAUUCCACUAAGGGACCCUUGGGGGCGGUCACCGAACCCGUACAAAUGGCGACCCUUGGGGGCGGUCACCGAACCCGUACACUUUGGCAACCCUUGGGGGCGGUCACCGGUACCCGUCAAAUUGCUCGGGGCGAUCUCCACAACCUAAUUGGAGACCCCAACGCUUUCCCGGAGCUUUACACCACAAUGAUUGAGCUCCGAACACCACCAACCGUCUAGGGCGCCCAAGCACCCAAGAGGAACAAGCUCAAGGGCACCAAGCACCCAAGAGUAAUAAGCUUCUCAACUUGUAACUUCCACGUAUCACGUGGAGAACUCAAACCGAUGCACCAAAUGCAAUGGCAAGGGCACACGAAGUGCCCAAGUCCUUCUCUCUCAAAUCCCACCAAAGCAACUAAUGCUAGGGAGGAAAAUGAGAGGAAGAACGAAAGAAGAACACGAAGAACUCCAAGAUCUAGAUCCAAUGGGUUCCCCUCACUUAGAGGAGAAAGUGAUUGCUGGAAACGUGGAUCUAGAUCUCCUCUCUCUUUUUCCUCAAAAACUAGCAAGAAUCCAUGGAGGGAUUGAGAGUUAGCAAGCUCAGAGAAGGUCAACAAUGGGGGAAGAACACGAGCUCAAAGGGAUUAGGUUCAUUGGGGAAGAAGACCCCCUUUUAUAGGACCUCCCGAAUCCAAUAGUUAUGUGCUCAGGUCGUGCACAAGCGGUACUACCGCUUGGAGGAGCGGUACUACCGCUUAGCACGGUCAAAACAGCCCAACGAGAGAGAAAACACGAGUUUUUGGUCCAGAGCGGUACUACCGCUUAGGAGCCACGGUAGUACUGCUCUAGAGCGGUACUAUCGCUCAGGAGCCGCGGUAGUACCGCUCUGGAGCGGUAGUAAAAAAUUACAUCUGCUCUAGUCGCGGUAGUACCGCUGCAGCCUUUACCAAAACAGCCACAACUUUUGCAAACGGACUCCGAAUUCAACGAAACCAAGUUUGUUGGAAAGCUAACGACAUGGGCUAACACAAUAUUGAUAGAAAUAUCAAGAAUAAGCAAAUGAGAAAAGUCCCAUAAGAAAAUGGUGAGAACCCUUCAUCGGAUAAGACCGGUAAAACCUCCAACACCGAAAACAUCAUAGAAGACGCAUGCGAACUCCGUUUUCGAUGAACUCAAGCUUGUCAUCAAGAUGACCAUAAGCUCUAAGACUCACAAAGAUAACCAAACAAUAACCAAGAAACAUGAUGCAAGGAUGCAAUGGUUUGAGCUCUCUACUAACGAUACGAUCAAGUUACCAACUUGAGAGCCCCCCUUGAUAGUACGGCAAACGAUCCUAUAACUCGGUCUCCCAACUACCACCACAAGACCGGUAAAAUAGAAAACCUAUCAAGGGAAAACCUUUGCCUUGCACAUGGUCCACUUGAGCUAGAUGAUGACGAUCUUGACUCCCUCAAGUUGGACCACCUUUCUUGAUUGCGCUGGCUCGAUGAAGACUAGAUGAUUGCUCCCCCAUAGUCCACUAUGGGUGAGCCACUCUUCGGCUCAUCUUCACAAGUCCAUUGACACGACAAUGGACGGCAAGAUUCAAGCACUUGAUCUCUUCGUGAUGCUCCACUUGAACUUGCACACGGCAAUCUUGAUGAUGAUCACCACUUGAUGUCAUCCUUUCCAUGGGUUGUAUGAUAUCUUCCUCUUGAUGCAAGCCCAUGGAUACGUACCUAACCCCACAUAGAACUCUCACAUAGACCAUGGGUUAGUACACAAAGUGCAAUGGACAAUGCUUACCAUACCAUGGGAUCACUUGAUCCCUCUCGGUACAUCUUCUACGCUUUGUGAGUUGAUCAACUCGAUUCACUAUUGACUUAGUCUUGAUCAACCUUGAAUCUUUGCAACUCUCUUCAUUUGGAUGAUGUAUUGAAGGUAAACAUGAAUGAUCACACAACCUUCUUCUUCAAGACAUGCUUGUAAUAAGCUCAACACUCGCAUGACCAAUCUUUGGAUAAUUCCUUAAUAGCACCUUGGUCAACUCAUAAACUCCUUGAAACCAACACAUGGACUUCAAGAAAAGCCUAUGGACAAAUCCUUCAAAUAUAACUCAAGACAACCAUUAGUCCAUAGAGAUUGUCAUCAAUUACCAAAACCACACAUGGGGGCACCACAUGUCCUUUCAAUCUCCCCCAUUUUGGUAAUUGAUGACAAUCACUUUCAAGAGAGUUUAUACAAGGAAUUAUGCAUCACCAUUCAAUGCACCAACCAAUAAUGCAUGCGUAUGAGAUGCAAAUGCUAAGGAAACAAACACCAAAGCUACUCCACAAAACUCUCUGAAACUUCUCCCCCAUUGGCAUCGAUUGCCAAAAUGGGCAAAAAUCUUAGAAGGCCAAUAUAAAUUGUGGUCCUCCAUAAAUUGUGUAUUUCUUAACAAGAGAGUGGAAUGCAAUACACAUAUCCAACUGCCAAUACUUGGAGGAAGACAAACUAUAUUGAUGCCCAAAGAUUGCAACAGAAAGAUAUGCCACAAAGACAUAACAAAGAGAGACACAAGCAAUUAGAAGAUACCAAUUGAAGCAAGCAAUCAAUGGAUAUCAAUUGAACCGACUAGACCAAUGAUCCUACAUGCCACAAGAAUAAAGAUAUUAUGAAAAGCGCAAAGGAGUGUUCUAAAAAAACUAGAGAAGCUCCCCAUGAUUUGUGCACACAUAAGAAUUUUUGUAUUUGAAUACAAAGUGCACAAAAUAGGAUCAUAGCUCCCCCAAAAUCAAUAGAAACUCACAUCCAGUGCAAGUGAGCAUAUAGGAAAUAAAGCCUAGCGCUUGCAACAAGCACAUGGUUGAGCAACAUGUAAAAGAGGCAACUUAAGAAUAGGCUCAACCAAAAUGAUGUGUGUGAGUCAUGGAGAAGCACUUGAGAAGACUAAGAUUAGGAUGAGCAUUAAGCAUCAACAUAGUCUUGAAAGAAUGAGGCACACAGUGCAAGGCCUAUCAUUCCCACACACAACUGGCAAAUGGGUUCACAAGCUUACUAAUAAGCAAAAGAGAACCUAUGCUUGUGACAACCCGUGGUGAAGAUAGACGAGGGGAGGCUCAUCAAGACGAGGGAUACCAAUUAAGAUGGCAAAAACCUCAUAAAGAUAAGCAAGAGGAAAAUAAUCUUCACCACACAAGAGUGCAACAAGAUGCAACGAUAGAGGACACGCACUCAAGGCAAAAGCUUUCACGGAGCCACCAAAGAAAUAACAUAAGAAAGACAAGGUGGACGUGAAAGAAAAGAUAUCAACUAGAGAUGUAAUUUCUCUCAAGUGUAUAAGGUUCUAUGUAGACGAAAUCAUGAUGAUAUAUAUAUCUACAAAGAAGGAUGUACACCCGAAAUAGUUACAACACGAAGGAACAAGAUAUCCACAAGGAAGUCAUAAAUAUACCAAUAAGAUAUUUGCUUGAAAGCAUAGCACUUGGCUAGAUAUGGUCUUAUUGUAUAUAAAUGAAGUCCAAACACACAUCCAUCAAAGGCAUCACAACUAGCAACAAGAGAUCAUCGUUGGGAUGCUUUGAGAAAGGAAACAAGUAUCACAAGAUAUGAAAUGAAUAUCAUGCCAAGAUGCAACCUACGAGAAAGCAUGAAUAGAUACUUGUUACCAAGAUAUCAUUGGAAGGAUGUAGUAGAUACCAAUUGAAGGUAGAUAGUAGUUCAUUGAUCAUCCUAGCUUGACUCCAAUAUGCACAUGGUGACAACACCUUCCUUGUGAGUGAGCCGAGCAUCCAAUGCAUCUUCAAAUGUUCCUAGAAGAACAACACAAACUAAACGGUACCCAAACUCAUUGGGACCAAAUAGUUAGAAAAACCAAUACAUAGGACAAACUCCACAUAAAUAUGUGCAUAUAGAUAUGAAAAUGAAUUUCAUACACAUCUCAUCCGAUUUGAGACUUGGUGGAGACCCCCUAUAUUUGAGUCAAAGAAAGAAAGCAUGCCAAAAAAAUACAUGAAGUAAACAUGCAUGCUCAAGACUUUCAAAACCCGAAACCUAAAGAGAAAGAAAUGCCAAGUGAAAAGGAUACCAAAUGGAGAAAUCAUCACUUGGAAGAUAUUAUUAAAGAUACAUCAAGGAAUGAGAUAUCCAUUGAUACACACUAAACUAAAGAUGUCAAACUCCCAAAGAUAGGAUGGUUCCAAACAAACCAAGCUCUCAACAAAGUUUCAUGAUGGCAAAAAGUACCAAAAAUAAAUGGAUUGCCUUCCACCAAAACACACUUGAUAAGGAUCACAAGAAGAGUGUUCUAAAGAAAAUAGGAUAGCUCCCCCACGAGUUGUGCAUUAUAUAGGAUUUGCAUUUGAAUACAAAAUGCACAAUGUGGGAUCACCACUUUCACUAUAUAUAGAAAACACUAGACAAGAACAAGAAAUAAACAAGAUCCACAAGUGGCCGGGAAGACACGGGGAGUUGACACAAACCUUGGCAAGAGAAAAGGAAAACCAAAAGCCAAAGUAAAGAUGAUCAACAAAUUCUACCACACAUAAGUGACUAUCAAUUGUCAAAAUACAAGAAGUAUUUGGAAAUAAUUUCCGGUGGUAGAUAACAAGGACAUCCAACAUCAUCUUCACAACAAACACAAGCAAAUUGCAACUUGUAGAGCUAACAUGCCACCUAGGAACAAGAUAAUCUACAAUAUCAAUUCUAGGUGACAAUAUCUCAAAUGUACACAUUUUCUAGGCUUGUAAUAUGCACUUAGCAUAUUACUCCCCCAUAAUGUGAUACCAAUAAGAACUUAACAAGAGGCAAUAAGAGGAACAAACAAGAGAUAAUUAAUGGACUAUUUAGAAUUUGAAUUUCUCAUGAGAGAUAUACCACCUAGCGACUAGAUAAUCUUGUAAUAUCAAUACUAGAUGGUAUUCCUCAUGUACACACAUUUAUAGGAUUGUGAGGUGCACAAAGCACAUCACUCCCCCAAAAUGGGAUGUUCCAUUAAUCUCUCACACCAGCCAACUAGGAUACAAACAAGAAGCAUAAAGGCUCAACGCACGACACACACGUACAUGAUGUGCAAACCAACACACACAUACUUGAUUGCUCAAGAUAAGGAAGUUGGAAUCACAACAUAUACAAACACAUGCAAGGAACAAAACCAAAACAUGCAAGGGGGCAAGUAACUUUCAAGGUAGACAAUUCAAGUACAAGUUACCGCAAGGAGGCACAUUGGAUAUAAGAUAGAAACUUAAUGAUCCAAUUGACUUGGCUUGAGACAAAGAGAAUGAUGAAGUCCCCUUAAUUCUUCAUAAUGUAGCCAAGUCUCCAAUGCCCUCCAACAACACCUAUUGAUCAAGUUUGAGCUUGUUGGUCCCCAACCAAGUUGGGUCCUAAGAGGUUAGUCACAAUAGGUUUGGCUACCCAAAUAGUUCUUUGCUUGACACCACUUUGAGUACCAACAGACUUGGCAAACACAUUGCCAACCUUAUCCUUACCAAGAGAAUAGAUAUCAUCAAUAAUAAUUGGGUUGGAUAAGUUACCACUAGUGCAUGAAGAAGCGACGUGACCUUUCUCAUGACAUAAGUAGCAACGUCUACUCUUCACUUUCUUCUCACUUGAUUUCUCAAUUUGAGAAGCAUUAACUUGAGUCUUCUUGGGAAGAGGCCUUUCUUCAACUUGAUGUUGAGCAUGAGAUUGAACUUGUGCCCUCUUCCCUUGUUGCUUGACACUAAUGGCCUUCUUCUUCAAUGGGCAAGAUCUAACAUGAUGCCCUUCGACUUUGCACUUGAAGCAAACAAUCUUGGCCGAAUUCUUGACUUGUUCUUGGCCCUUCUUCUUGUUCAACUUGGACUUCUUCUUCUUGUUGGAGUUGAAUCCAAGUCCACCUUUGUAAUUGGGGGAUUUUUGCACACUCAAGAUAUUGUUGAGUGUGGCCUUCCCUUCAUGACACUUUUCCAAGUCUUUCUUCAAAGAAGUGACUUGGGCCUUGAGCUCUUUGAUUUCCUCUACAUGGUUAGUCUCAACACAAGUACUAGAGGAGGUAUAAGCUUCAUCAUUAGAGCAACAAGGCAAGGAAAGCAAUUCAUCACAAGAUGUACCAAUAUUGUGAGUAGAUGAAUUACAAGGACUAGCACAAGGCAAUAUACUAUUUUGACUAGAAGUAGUGCUAGUAUCCACAUGAGGCUCACUAGAUGUUUCCUUAGCAAUCAUGGCCUCAUGAGCUAUCUUUAGCACACUAUGGGAUACUAGAAGAUCAUCAUGAGAGCUUGAGAGCUGUUCAUGACUUUCUUCCAAUUUCCCAUAAUUGCUAGAUAGCACCUCAAGUUGAGCCCGUAGCUCAACAUUCUCCUUCAAAAUGGAUGCUUCACAAGUAAUAGAAUUAGUAGCACAAGCAUCAUCAUUAAGAACAAGAGGAUAAGGCAACUUGGCAAGCUCUUUUAAAUAAGAAGCUUCAAGUUGGGCAUGAGACUCAGUGAGUUUGAUGAGCUCACCCUUGAUGACCCUUGAGCCAUUUUCGAGGUGCUCAAAAUCCUCAAGGAGUCUAGCAUGAGAAACUUCAAGCUUAGCAUUUUUAGUUUUGAAAUCGUUGGCCACCUCAAGAGCUCUAUCAUGAGAUUCCCUCACUCUAGAUAAUUCUAGAGCAAAAGUCUCCUCAAGAGAUUCGGAGGUGGUUUGUUCAUGUUCAAGAGCUUGAGAUAGCUAUCUCAUUUGCGUAAUCAUGACCAUGAGCUUCCAUUUUCUCAAUGGUGACCUCAUGCUCCUCGAGAUGAGAUUCCAACUCCUCAAUAUAUUUCUUGCCCUCAAUGGCAAUGGACAUAAUUUCCAUGAAGUUGGAACGAGCAAUUUUAUUUUUAUGAAGAGCUUUAAAAAACAUCUCCCCCUUAGUUUUUAAGGAGGCAACAUUAUCAUUCUCUUCAUCAUUAUCCUCAUCAUCAUUAGCAUCAACAUCAUCAUCAAGAGACAUAUUGGGGUACAAAGUAGGAUAUACCUUUGACGCCUUAGCCAUAAGGCAAAAAGCAAUAGAUGAUGAUGUAGGAUCCCUUGAGGCACCAUUAAACACCACAUCUUGUUCCAUGGAGUGUUCGGUUUCCUCUACAUUGUUAGCACAACAAUUCGAGGAAAUAGAUGAAUUUUUAUCAUGGCAACAAGACAUAGCAAGCAUAUCAUCAUGAGAUUUAGUCAAGCAAUUUCUACAUGAUAUGCAAGGACUAUCAACACAAGCAUGUGAAACAUUUGGAGUGCUCGAAGUGUUAAAGUCCAAAAAAGGAGCGUUGCAAUAAUAUAGUGAUGAAGGAUCAUCCACAAUAAGCAUACUAUCACCAUUGCAAUGACCAACACUACUCACCAUAUCAUUACCUUGUGGCAAACCACAUGUAGGUGAAGUAGAAGAAGUUGAGAAGACUAUACGACCAGAGGUGGAGGGGGAACAAUCAUCCCCACAAAUAUUGGACACACCAUAUUUAUCUUGAAGCUUUGUCCACAACUCAUGAGCAUCCUGGAACGACAUGAGUUGAAAAAUAACUACAUUGCUCAAAGCAUCAAAAAGCACAUUAGAAGCUUGAGCAUUGAGAUAAGAGUUUUUCUCAUCCUCUAAAGAUAAUCUUUGGGGAUCCUUUGGGGGAUAAAAACCCAUAUCUACAAUUUGCUCUAAAUUUGGGUCCAUGACCCUAAAGAGAUUAAGCAUGCGAAUUACCCAAUCAUCAAAAUUUGUGCCAUCGAAACUAAGAGUGUCAGAGAAUCCUAAUCCCCUAGUUGACAUCUUUACUCUCUAGGCGGUUAAGCCUAACAAAGAGAGACGAGGCUCUGAUACCAAUUGAAAGAUCAUGGAUGUCGCCUAGAGGGGAGGGGGGUGAAUAGGCGUUUUAAAAUAAUUACGGUUUAGGCUUGAACAAAUGCGGAAUAAACCUAGCGGUUAAUUUGUCAAGCACAAAACCUAAAACAACUAGGCUCACCUAUGUGCACCAACAACUUAUGCUAAGCAAUAUAAGCAACUAUGUGAUAGCAAGAUAUAUGACAAAGAACAAUAUGGCUGUCACAAAGUAAAGUGCAUAAGUAAAGGGCUCGGGUAAGAGAUAACCGAGGCACGCGGAGACGAUGAUGUAUCCCGAAGUUCACACCCUUGCGGAUGCUAAUCUCCAUUUGGAGCGGUGUGGAGGCACAAUGCUCCCCAAGAAGCCACUAGGGACACCGUAAUCUCCUCACGCCCUCGCACAAUGCAAGAUGCCGUGAUUCCACUAAGGGACCCUUGAGGGCGGUCACCGAACCCGUACAAAUGGCGACCCUUGGGGGCGGUCACCGAACCCGUACACUUUGGAAACCCUUGGGGGCGGUCACCGGUACCCGUCAAAUUGCUCGGGGCAAUCUCCACAACCUAAUUGGAGACCCCAACGCUUGCCCGGAGCUUUACACCACAAUGAUUGAGCUCCGAACACCACCAACCGUCAAGGGCGCCCAAGCACCCAAGAGGAACAAGCUCAAGGGCACCAAGCACCCAAGAGUAAUAAGCUUCUCAACUUGUAACUUCCACGUAUCACGUGGAGAACUCAAACCGAUGCACCAAAUGCAAUGACAAGGGCACACGAAGUGCCAAUUCCUUCUCUCCCAAAUCCCACCAAAGCAACUAAUGCUCGGGAGGAAAAUGAGAGGAAGAACGAAAGAAGAACACGAAGAACUCCAAGAUCUAGAUCCAAUGGGUUCCCCUCACUUAGAGGAGAAAGUGAUUGGUGGAAACGUGGAUCUAGAUCUCCUCUCUCUUUUCCCUCAAAAACUAGCAAGAAUCCAUGGAGGGAUUGAGAGUUAGCAAGCUCGGAGAAGGUCAACAAUGGGGGAAGAACACGAGCUCAAAGGGAUUAGGUUCAUUGGGGAAGAAGACCCCCUUUUAUAGGACCUCCCGAAUCCAACCGUUAUGUGCUCAGGUCGUGCACAAGCGGUACUACCGCUUGGAGGAGCGGUACUACCGCUUAGCACGGUCAAAACAGCCCAACGAGAGAGAAAACACGAGUUUUUGGUCCAGAGCGGUACUACCGCUUAGGAGCCACGGUAGUACUGCUCUAGAGCGGUACUACCGCUCAGGAGCGCGGUAGUACCGCUCUGGAACGGUAGUAAAAAAUUACAUCUGCUCUAGUCGCGGUAGUACCGCUGCAGCCUUUACCAAAACAACCACAACUUUUGCAAACAGACCCCGAAUUCAACGAAACCAAGUUUGUUGGAAAGCUAAUGACAUGGGCUAACACAAUAUUGAUAUAAAUAUCAAGAAUAAGCAAAUGAGAAAAGUCCCAUAAGAAAAUGGUGAUAACCCUUCAUCGGAUAAGACUGGUAAAACCUCCAACACCGAAAACAUCAUAGAAGACGCAUGCGAACUCCGUUUUCGAUGAACUCAAGCUUGUCAUCAAGAUGACCAUAAGCUCUAAACUCACAAAGAUAACCAAAAAAUAACCAAGAAACAUGAUGCAAGGAUGCAAUGGUUUGAGAUCUCUACUAACGAUACGAUCAAGCUACCAACUUGAGAGCCCCCCUUGAUAGUACGGCAAACGAUCCUAUAACUCGGUCUCCCAACUACCACCACAAGACCGGUAGAAUAGAAAACCUAUCAAGGGAAAACCUUUGCCUUGCACAUGGUCCACUUGAGCUAGAUGAUGACGAUCUUGACUCCCUCAAGUUGGACCACCUUUCUUGAUUGCGUUGGCUCGAUGAAGACUAGAUGAUUGCUCCCCCAUAGUCCACUAUGGGUGAGCCACUCUUCGGCUCAUCUUCACAAGUCCAUUGACACGACAAUGGACGGCAAGAUUCAAGCACUUGAUCUCUUCGUGAUGCUCCACUUGAACUUGCACACGGCAAUCUUGAUGACGAUCACCACUUGAUGUCAUCCUUUCCAUGGGUUGUAUGAUAUCUUCCUCUUGAUGCAAGCCCAUGGAUACGUACCUAACCCCACAUAGAACUCUCACAUAGACCAUGGGUUAGUACACAAAGUGCAAUGGAUAAUGCUUACCAUACCAUGGGAUCACUUGAUCCCUCUCGGUACAUCUUCUACGCUUUGUGAGUUGAUCAACUUGAUUCACUGUUGACUUAGUCUUGAUCAACCUUGAAUCUUUGCAACUCUAUUCAUUUGGAUGAUGUAUUGAAGGUAAACAUGAAUGAUCACACAACCUUCUUCUUCAAGACAUGCUUGCAAUAAGCUCAACACUCGCAUGACCAAUCUUUGGAUAAUUCCUUAAUAGCACUUUGGUCAACUCAUAAACUCCUUGAAACCAACACAUGGACUUCAAGAAAAGCCUAUGGACAAAUCCUUCAAAUAUAACUCAAGACAACCAUUAGUCCAUAGAGAUUGUCAUCAAUUACCAAAACCACACAUGGGGGCGCCACAUGUCCUUUCAAAAUAUCUUAGGCAUAGAAGAUACGACGACACGUCGCUUAAAGACAAUUUACAACUAUGCAUAGAUAACUUUAAGUUUUAGGCAUAACGUAGACGUUUAGGCAUAGAAGAUAUGACAACACGUUGCUUACAGACGUUUUAGGCAUAGAAGAUACGGCAACACGUCGCUUACAGACAAUUUACAACAUGGGUCUUGCCGUCCUCAUGAACAACGUGUUCAUACUGAGCCGGUGAUAGUCCAAGGUGUGCCAGGAGCAUGCCAAGAACUGCCCUGUGUGGGAUCCUGAACACUCGCUGGGUGUCCUGCAGUUCCCAAUAACAUAAAACAUAAGGCCUUGGGGAAUUGCCCAAAACAAUUGCAUUACAACAUGGGAAAGGAAUCAGAGAAAUCAGUUGCGGAUAAAAGCAACCAUAGUGAUAAAAAAGAUAUGCCAAGCCUAUCGUUUAAUCAGGAUUUUGUUUAGGAUGUGCCAAGCAAUAAAAAAUAGACUAUGAAUCAGGAUUUUGUUGCAAACAGACUGAAUGAUGGAAUGAGAAGAGGAAUAUAUUCAUGAAAUAAAGCAAGAGAGAUAAAGUUGAAAGGAAAUAAGUGCAGACACUAGUGCAGAACCGGGCUUUAGUGCCGGUUCGUGACGGCCUUUAGUGCCGGUUGGCGAACCGGCACUAAAGAGUGGGGACUAAAGCCCCCCCCUUUAGUACCGGUUCGUCACGAACCGGCGCUAAAGUGCAAACACGUGGCACGAUCCAGGCCCGUAUGCGUGUAGGACAUUAGUACCGGUUGGUAACACCAACCGGUACUAAAUGUUUGGGUGUUUUUUCAAUUUUUGCUUUAAUUUUGUGUUUUCAAUUUGGCUUUAUUUUCCAUUUAAUUCUUUUUUGUUUGCUGGUAUUUCACGAUAUUACAAAUUGUACACGUUAUGCAUAUAUAUUAAAUAGAUUUUCUCGUACGUAGAACCGCAUAUAUAAUAUAUAUAUAUAUAUAUAUAUAUAUAUAUAUCAUCGAAUGUCUCACAGCCAACACCAUUAACUAUUCACACAUACACAUGUAUAUACAUAUACAAUUUCUCCUACAUGUUGCCUUGGUGCCUUCGGAGCACGAUGACAAGUGGUUCAUGGGGGCGGUAGCGGAUAAUAGUAUUCUCCUUUUGGAUCUAUGACCUGGUCGAGCAAAAAUCCGGCUAUUUCCUCUUGAAGUGCUUGUAUGCGGUCCGAUGGUAGGAGCUUAUCCCGCACCGAUCUGAACUCUUAAGAAGGAGAUCAAUAUGCAUGUGUGUUAGUUGUGUGACUAGAUAUCGAUAAUGGUGUGAAUAGUGUUCUGACAAAAACGUACCCAGUCCUGUCUAUCAGAUCUGCUCCUUUCGCAUGUCAUCAUGCGAAUGUUCUCGCAAACGUAGUAUGCACACAGAUUAUUCCCUGGCGCCUGCCUCAGGGCCUUUACGAGAAUGGAAUUGAAUCAGAUAAUGAUUAAUCAAGCAUGAUAAUUAAUUAAUGAUAUUGAAACUAGAAUUAAAGAGAUGGUAGCUAGCUAGUACUACUUAAUUACUUACCUUGGGUCGAUGCCAAAACAACUUUUUUGGCCACGUGCCUGGAGUCACCUUGAUGAACUUUGCCCAUGCCCUACCCGCCGGUAAAGAAAAUUAAUAAAGGGGUUAUUAAAUAGUUCAUAUCAGGAACUAAUAGUUAAUAAUGAUUGAAAUUACCUGUUGACUAUCCCCUUCAUGGUGGUGUAGUCUUUAUCUUCUUUAGUUAGUGAGUCCAGUAAUUCAACUUUUCCUUCCUCAACUUUAAUGUCUAACAAGACUCAGUGCCAACAGCAUAUGCACACAUUUGCAUGUCUUAAUUAAGCGGGCAUGUGCAUAAAAUUAAUCAACUACCGUAAACCGUAUACACUUAAUUAUUAACAUCUAGCUAGCUAGUAAGCAAAAACAGAAUUUGUAGUACAAGAUAGUGUGACUCACGGGAAGUUGUAAGGAAGUAGUAUAUCUUUAUUGGUAUUGAGGCGCUUCAAGAACUCUAGCAUGCUUUCCUCUACUUCAGCUUGACAAUGUUCAAUCUGCCAUAUGUCCUCAUUAAUGGUAUUUGGGUCAAUGAACCCAACGCCAUAGUGUCCAGAUUUUUUCAUUUCAUACAUCUUCAUCCUGUAUAUAAUACCACAGAAAAAGAAUAUAGUUAGGAUAAUUACAUGUAAUGAUUGAUCAAAAUUAUCACUACAUAACUAGCUUGAGACUUAAAUUACAGAAAGAAAUCACUUACAGACAAUAGCAACUGACGAUAGACUUAUCGAGUGCGUCUUGAUUAAAUAACUGAAAUAGUUCUGGAUACUCAAUGGCCAGAGCUUUCUCAUGGUAAUAAUGCUCAUGCUUGACAUUCACCAUGAGGGACUCUCGAUUGGAAAUCUUGGUAAUGUUCAUGUACCAUUGAUGCAAUUGAUACAUUCUCGUUGGGAGGUCCUUGACCUUGUCUGGAUGGACCAAAGGUUUGCCCUGGACAUAUUGCCAUGUUAUUUCCGAUUCUUUAAGCGCAGGCAUGGGCUCGAUUUUGAGGAGUUGUCCAACAGAGAUAUUGAGCAUUUGAGCCUGCAUUAUAUGAUCCUCUGUUAUUACCACAUCGCCAUGCUGGAGAACGCUAACGGUUUGCCCACAAUAAUAUUUGGCGCGCGUACUACUCCUCUCAUGUGUUGUUGGCACAACAAGCGGGGGGAUCGCUUGCGCCGCCUGUUCUCCCAACUGGGGAACGGUUUUCCCACAUUUUUUGCCAGCUGCUUGUUGGCUCAAGCUUGAGCUCGCUUCCUUCUGUAGUCGUGCUCGAUGUGCCUUCCUGAUUUGGCGCUCAUAGUCCGAGUCAACAGGCUUGGGAGCUAGUUCUCUAGCCAUACGAAUGAAGUGGUCAAUUACUUUCUCAGGCACUUUCUCCUUUGGCGGCGGUGCCGGUUUCGGUCCAAAAUGGGCAUCCACUUGGGCUUGCACUAUGGCUGUGUUUUGCUCCUUAGUCAUGUCGUAAGGCCUCUGAGGAAGAGGAGCGAGGCUUGGACCAUAUUUAUAUCGCUUGCCUUCGCCUGUACUUCCUGAACUACCUCGACUCGUACCACUACGCACCAAAUCUGCGGGAUGUCUCUUCUGCGAUUGCUGAGACGGCGGAGACGGCUGACGUGGAGUUGGACCAGGAGAAGUGGCCUGACGAUGUGCCGAACUUGAAGCAGGAGGUGUGGCCUGACAUGGUGCCGAACUUGCAACCGGAGAAGUGGCAUGACGCUGUGCCGGGCUUGAAACCAGAGGAGUUAGCUCACGCGUUCGGAGACUUGGAGGAGGUGGCGGACUUCGAGGAGGAGUCGUCUCACGUGUUCGUGGACUUGGAGGAGCGGGAGUCUGCUGACUCGGUGGCGGACUUCGAGGAGUCGGAAGACGACGCGGUGUCGGUGGACUUCGAAAGAUGAUGCAAUCCUUUCUCCAUAGGAUGAUACAAUGUAUGGCCUCUCCCAGUGUGCGCUCGUCUUCACCUCCAGGAAUGUCAAGCAUUAGCCCCGAAUAUGGGUCCACCACUUCAUCAACCAUGACACGAGCAUAGCCUUCUGGAAUCGGGAUGCAAUGGUAGGUUGCUUCGGGGGUAACUGGAAAAGCAACGCCGUCCGCCACCUUCAUGGAUAUGUUCUUCAUUUUGGAGUGUAGCUCGCAGUUAGUGUUCUCUAUGAUGUCAUCCGCAGGGUAUUUAUCCACCAGUGUGUCACCCGGGGCAGAACCAACGCUGCUUCUCGGCAUGGAUGGGACGGUGCUAUCCAAUGCUGGACGAUCAUCCGCUUGCUGCUGCCGCUGCUGAGACCCCCUUUCCUGGCUAAUUGAGUCGAUUUGCUAUUGCUGCUGCCGGAAUUUGAGUGCCAGGUCCGCGUGCCUUGCUUCUAGGCCUUGAAGGCGUUCUGCGUCCUUGUGACGCCCGGAUAAUUAAGCUACAGUAAUCCCGGGCUAACGGUGCCACGUCACCACGGUUACUGUUGUUAACCUUGCGAUGAUUCGAAACCGUUUCAAAAUUCAAAUUCAAAUUAAUGUCAGUAAUAAAAGUUUUCAAAAAUUAAAAUAAAAAUGUUCGGAUUGUACUAAAUAUUACAUAGAUAAUUAUGGUGUAGAAGGCACAGUUUUAUAAAAUACAUAAAUAUUUUAAAUUGAAUUAAAACAGAAGAGAAAAUAAAUAAAAGGAAGAAAAUACAAAAGAGACAAACAAAAAAAAAG
rnacentral:lncRNA from 1 species